UACGAAGGGGGCUAGCGUUGUUCGGAAUUACUGGGCGUAAAGCCCACGUAGGCGGACAUUUAAGUCAGGGGUGAAAUCCCGGGGCUCAACCCCGGAACUGCCUUUGAUACUGGGUGUCUAGAGUAUGGAAGAGGUGAGUGGAAUUCCGAGUGUAGAGGUGAAAUUCGUAGAUAUUCGGAGGAACACCAGUGGCGAAGGCGGCUCACUGGUCCAUUACUGACGCUGAGGUGCGAAAGCGUGGGGAGCAAACAGG
rnacentral:rRNA from 1 species